rnacentral:tRNA from 1 species
GCCGGGGUGGCUCAGCUGGUAGAGCGCCAGCCAGGCUUAGGCCCAGAAGCCGCGGGUUCGAACCCCGUCCCCGGCACCA